CCUACGGGUGGCUGCAGUGGGGAAUAUUGGACAAUGGGGGCAACCCUGAUCCAGCCAUGCCGCGUGUGUGAAGAAGGCCCUCGGGUUGUAAAGCACUUUCAGUGAGGAAGAACGCCUGGUGGUUAAUACCCAUCAGGAAAGACAUCACUCACAGAAGAAGCACCGGCUAACUCCGUGCCAGCAGCCGCGGUAAUACGGAGGGUGCGAGCGUUAAUCGGAAUUACUGGGCGUAAAGCGCGCGUAGGUGGCUUGAUAAGCCGGUUGUGAAAGCCCCGGGCUCAACCUGGGAACGGCAUCCGGAACUGUCAAGCUAGAGUGCAGGAGAGGAAGGUAGAAUUCCCGGUGUAGCGGUGAAAUGCGUAGAGAUCGGGAGGAAUACCAGUGGCGAAGGCGGCCUUCUGGACUGACACUGACACUGAGGUGCGAAAGCGUGGGUAGCAAACAGGAUUAGAUGCCCGAGUAGUC
rnacentral:rRNA from 1 species